GCUAACUUCGCUAAAUACAGUGAAACCUGGUUAAGUGAGACAUCAAGGGACCUGCAAUGUCGUUUCACUUAUAGAGGUAUUCCACUUACCCAGUGUCUCAGAUAUACAGGUAUAAAUAAAUAUCUGUCUC